AAGUCGUAACAAGGUUUCCGUAGGUGAACCUGCGGAAGGAUCAUUACCGAGAGACGGGGUCUAACCGGCCCCACUCUUCACCCGUGUAUACCUACCAUGUUGCUUUGGCGGGCCCCAGGGCUCAUGGCCCUGCGCUGGUCGGAGGCCAUCUGUGUCUCUUCCCGGCGAGCGCUCGCCGAAGGCCCUGCAAACUCCUGUUUUAGUGUCGUCCGAGUAAAAACCUAAUAGUUAAAAACUUUCAACAACGGAUCUCUUGGUUCUG
rnacentral:misc_RNA from 1 species